rnacentral:rRNA from 1 species
UCAAGCUGAAAAGAGCGCAAGGGGAAUGCCUUGGCAUCAGGAGCCGACGAAGGACGUGACAAGCUGCGAUAAGCCACGGGGAGGAGCAAAUAUCCGUUAUAUCCGUGGAUUUCCGAAUGGGGGAACCCGCUCAAGCAAUACUUGAGCAUCGUGCGUUGAAUCAAAUAGGCGUACGAAGGGAACGGCCUGAACUGAAACAUCUAAGUAGGGCCAGGAAAAGACAUCAACCGAGAUUCCGCUAGUAGUGGCGAGCGAACGCGGAGGAGGCCAAACCGAGGGACGCAAGUUCUUCGGGGUUGCGGACAGACAUCAUGACCAGAGGAAGUUAGGAGAACGGCGUGGGAAAGCCGGCCAUAGAAGGUGAGAGCCCUGUAUCUGAAAAUGAAGACUGGCAGUCUGGAUCCAGAGUACCGCGGGACACGUGAAACCCCGUGGGAAACCGGGUGGACCACCAUCCAAGCCUAAAUACUACCUGAUGACCGAUAGAGGAGCAGUACCGUGAGGGAAAGGUGAAAAGGACCCCGGGAGGGGAGUGAAAGAGAACCUGAAACCUUGUGCUUACAAGCACUCAAAGCACGUUAAAGUGUGAUGAGGUACUUUUUGUAGAACGGUCCGGCGAGUUAUAGUAACGAGCAAGCUUAAGGUAUUGAGUACCGGAGGCGAAGCGAGAGCGAGUCUGAAUAGGGCGUAAAGUUCGUUGCCAUAGACCCGAAACCGGGUGACCUAUCCAUGAGCAGGCUGAAGUGAGAGUAAAAUCUCAUGGAGGGCCGAACCGACCCCCGUUGCAAUGGUGGCGGAUGACUUGUGGAUAGCGGAGAAAUUCCAAUCGAACUCGGAGAUAGCUGGUUCUCCCCGAAAUAGCUUUAGGGCUAGCCUCAUAUUAGAUACCCGGAGGUAAAGCACUGAAUGGCCUAGCGCCCGAGAGGGUAGCGAAGCCUAUCAAACUAAGAAUGCCGGAGUAUUGAUGUAUGGGAGUCAGACAGUGUGAGAUAAAUCUCAUUGUCAAAAGGGAAACAGCCCAGAUCUACAGCUAAGGUCCCAAAUUGUAUCUAAGUGGAAAACGAUGUGGAAAUACGCAGACAACCAGGAUGUUGGCUCAGAAGCAGCCACUCAUUUAAAGAGUGCGUAAUAGCUCACUGGUCGAGCGUCUCUGCGCGGAAAAUUUAACGGGGCUAAGAUACAAACCGAAGCUUAGGCUGCACGUAAGUGCGGGGUAGGGGAGCGUUGUGUAAGCGGAGAAACAGUAGCGUAAGCGGCUGUGGAGUUUACAGAAGUGAGAAUGCCGGAAUGAGUAGCGCGAAUGUGGUGAGAAUCCACAUGGCCGGAAACCUCAGGUUUUUGGAGGAAGGUUCGUCCGCUCCAAGUUAGGCGGGAGCUAAGGUCAGGCCGAAAGGCGUAGCCGAUGCACAGACGGUAGAGAUUCCGUCCCCACCGAAAGAUUUAAGCACAGGGACACUUUUUGAAGGUCGGAGCCAGGUGUUGGUUCUGGUAGUGAUCGAGGGAAAUAUAGUACCGAAGUCCGGCUGGAAGAGAGGCGAGAAAAGCUGUGUGUAUAUCUAAGGUGCCCGUACCGCAAACCGACACAGGUAGGUAGGAAGAAGAUUCUAAGGCCAACGGGAGAAGGGUUGUUAAGGAACUCGGCAAAUUGACCCCGUAACUUCGGGAGAAGGGGUGCUCCAGAGAUGGAGCCGCAGAGAAUCGGCCCAAGCAACUGUUUACCAAAAACACAGGUUUGUGCUAAAUCGAAAGAUGACGUAUACGAGCUGACGCCUGCCCGGUGCUGGAAGGUUAAGAGGAGAUGUGCAAGCAUUGAAUCGAAGCCCCAGUGAACGGCGGCCGUAACUAUAACGGUCCUAAGGUAGCGAAAUUCCUUGUCAGGUAAG